UUAGAGAGGAUAUUUUUGUGAUAUGUGUAAUCAGAUGAAAUUGCCAAUGCUAGCAGCAUUUUAUCAGUUGGGGCAAGUUGGGGUUUAUUGGAAUAAGCUAUAAUUUUACAUUAAAGUAAGUUUUACUAAUUCGAAACGUUAAACUAACUUAAUUUUGAAGUAAAAUUUUGGAUAGUAAACUGUGUUAAGCACAAAAUAGUGACUUAAAAAAAUUAAAUGCACAAAAUGUAUUAGCAUUGUUUAAAAAAGGGUAGUUCUUAAACAAUGGUAUUAGCUCUGGUAUUAGUAAAAUCAAACUUGUUUCUCUUGUUUUCACCACUUUAUCCUAGAGAGGAUAUAUUUUUCUAUCUAUAGAAUAAUUAAGUAUUUAACAUUUUUUUAAAUUAUUUUUUAGAAGUUUCAGUUAUGUUGUUUAUGUAAAUAUAAAAAUAUUAUAUUUUAUUUAAAUAAAAAUGGUUUUUGUUGUUUUUAUUUUGACAUAUAUAACAAAAUAAUCUGUCAUUGUCAUUUUUUCUUCUUUUUGAGCUGUCAUCUGUCAUUUCUUCUUCUUUUUUGGGCUGUCAUCUGUGUUUUUUUCUUCUUUUUUGGCUGUCAAGUGUCAUUUUGUGAGCAAAUAAUUUAGUAGAAUAUUUAGUAGAUUUUAUGCUCAAUCUAGUAGAAUUUAGUAGAUUUUGUAUAUAAAUCUAGUAGAAAACGACGUUAGGUCGUUGGCAACCCUGGUUGGUGUCAAUCUUGCUUCACUAUUUGAAUGGGACAUGGCCAUUCCGACACAAUCUGCAAUCUGUGGUUUUGAUCAUGCCCCGCUAACUCUAAUAAAAAACAUGUAAUCGUAUUUAUUUUCCUUCCGUUUAGUCAGAGGCGCUGAUGUCGGCAUUGUGAUUGGUGGAACAUGACUUUUGACAAAUCCUGCGCUAUCUGUGAAUCUGUGUUCGUGUGCGUUCGUUCGUUGUCGUUCAGUUAUUUUAUUUUAUAUGGUCUGUUAUGUGAUGUGUUUGUGUCACCAUAAAAAGCUGAUAUUCAGUCUUGUUUUUUGAUAUUUUGUAAUCGAGUACCUUUUUAAAGGUCUAAUGGCUCCGUUCAGCUGUUGUGUGCAGACGGUGGAAAAGUUCAACAAGUAAACAUUUAUUUAAUCUAAAUUAAAUACUCAUAUUUCUAUGUAAAAUGUCACAUUAUUUUAUAAAUAAAUAAGUAAGAAACAAA